rnacentral:rRNA from 1 species
UACGAAGGGGGCUAGCGUUGUUCGGAUUUACUGGGCGUAAAGCGCACGUAGGCGGAUCGAUCAGUCAGGGGUGAAAUCCCAGAGCUCAACUCUGGAACUGCCUUUGAUACUGUCGAUCUGGAGUAUGGAAGAGGUGAGUGGAAUUCCGAGUGUAGAGGUGAAAUUCGUAGAUAUUCGGAAGAACACCAGUGGCGAAGGCGACUCACUGGACAGGUAUUGACGCUGAGGUGCGAAAGCGUGGGGAGCAAACAGG